rnacentral:rRNA from 1 species
UACGGGAGGCAGCAGUGGGGAAUAUUGGACAAUGGACCAAGAGUCUGAUCCAGCAAUUCUGUGUGCACGAUGAAGUUUUUCGGAAUGUAAAGUGCUUUCAGUUGGGAAGAAAAAAAUGACGGUACCAACAGAAGAAGUGACGGCUAAAUACGUGCCAGCAGCCGCGGUAAUACGUAUGUCACAAGCGUUAUCCGGAUUUAUUGGGCGUAAAGCGCGUCUAGGUGGUUAUGUAAGUCUGAUGUGAAAAUGCAGGGCUCAACUCUGUAUUGCGUUGGAAACUGUGUAACUAGAGUACUGGAGAGGUAAGCGGAACUACAAGUGUAGAGGUGAAAUUCGUAGAUAUUUGUAGGAAUGCCGAUGGGGAAGCCAGCUUACUGGACAGAUACUGACGCUGAAGCGCGAAAGCGUGGGUAGCAAACAGGAUUAGAUACCCUGGUAGUCCACGCCGUAAACGAUGAUUACUAGGUGUUGGGGGUCGAACCUCAGCGCCCAAGCAAACGCGAUAAGUAAUCCGCCUGGGGAGUACGUACGCAAGUAUGAAACUCAAAGGAAUUGACGGGGACCCGCACAAGCGGUGGAGCAUGUGGUUUAAUUCGACGCAACGCGAGGAACCUUACCAGCGUUUGACAUCUUAGGAAUGAGACAGAGAUGUUUCAGUGUCCCUUCGGGGAAACCUAAAGACAGGUG